rnacentral:rRNA from 1 species
GAUGAACGCUGGCGGCGUGCCUAAUACAUGCAAGUCGAGCGAACAGACGAGGAGCUUGCUCCUCUGACGUUAGCGGCGGACGGGUGAGUAACACGUGGAUAACCUACCUAUAAGACUGGGAUAACUUCGGGAAACCGGAGCUAAUACCGGAUAAUAUAUUGAACCGCAUGGUUCAAUAGUGAAAGACGGUUUUGCUGUCACUUAUAGAUGGAUCCGCGCCGCAUUAGCUAGUUGGUAAGGUAACGGCUUACCAAGGCAACGAUGCGUAGCCGACCUGAGAGAGUGAUCGGCCACACUGGGACUGAGACACGGUCCAGACUCCUACGGGAGGCAGCAGUAGGGAAUCUUGCGCGAUGGGCGAAAGCUUGACGGAGCAACGCCGCGUGAGUGAUGAAGGUCUUCGGAUCGUAAAACUCUGUUAUUAGGGAAGAACAAAUGUGUAAGUAACUAUGCACGUCUUGACGGUACCUAAUCAGAAAGCCACGGCUAACUACGUG